CCUACGGGUGGCAGCAGUAGGGAAUCUUCCACAAUGGACGAAAGUCUGAUGGAGCAACGCCGCGUGAGUGAAGAAGGGUUUCGGCUCGUAAAGCUCUGUUGGUAGUGAAGAAAGAUAGUGGUAGUAAUUGGCCUGUAUUCGACGGUAAUUACUUAGAAAGUCACGGCUAACUACGUGCCAGCAGCCGCGGUAAUACGUAGGUUGCAAGCGUUGUCCGGAUUUAUUGGGCGUAAAGCGAGUGCAGGCGGUUCAAUAAGUCUGAUGUGAAAGCCUUCGGCUCAACCUGAGAAUUGCAUUAGAAACUGUUGAAGGUGAGUGCAGAAGAGGAGAGUGGAACUCCAAGUGUAGCGGGGGAAUGCGUAGAUAUAUGGAAGAAAACCAGUGGCGAAGGCGGCUCUCUGGUCUGCAACUGACGCUGAGGCUCGAAAGCAUGGGUAGCGAACAGGAUUAGAUACCCCUGUAGUC
rnacentral:rRNA from 1 species